rnacentral:rRNA from 1 species
GACGUAGGAGGCGAGCGUUGUCCGGAUUCAUUGGGCGUAAAGAGCACGCAGGCGGUUUGGCAAGUCGGAUGUGAAAUCCCGGGGCUCAACCCCGGAACUGCAUUCGAUACUGCUGCGCUAGAGUACUGGAGAGGAGAUUGGAAUUUACGGUGUAGCAGUGAAAUGCGUAGAUAUCGUAAGGAAGACCAGUGGCGAAGGCGGAUCUCUGGACAGUUACUGACACUGAGGCACGAAGGCCAGGGGAGCAAACGGG